AAUAAAAAGGCAGCACAUACACCACCAAAAGAAGAAAAGAAAUUUGUAGCAGCAUUUGAAGGAAACUAGUUAAAGAAUACGGCAAACCCUCUGUUUUCUCUUUUGUUUCUUGGUCUUUGUAGGCUGGAGAACUGCCUUUAUAGCAGCAUCAAAGACAGCCUUCACAUUCUGCAUUUUCAGUUGAAAAGUUCUUCAACUAGGCGGCAUAUGUUGAACCAAACACAAAUUAUAUGAUGCAACUCUAGUCUAUGUGAGAAGCAUAUUCCAGCUAAAACUUCUGACAUUGCAGAGCACUCCCACACAUCUAAUGGAAAAUAAGAUUGCGAACAGUGUCUAUUUGUUAUGGGUUCAUAGGUCACGCUUAUGUAGUGUGGGAUAUUGGGCAAAG
rnacentral:misc_RNA from 1 species